rnacentral:rRNA from 1 species
CCUACGGGAGGCAGCAGUGGGGAAUAUUGGACAAUGGGCGAAAGCCUGAUCCAGCCAUGCCGCGUGUGUGAAGAAGGCCUUCGGGUUGUAAAGCACUUUCAGUGGGGAAGAAAGCCUUGGGGCUAAUACCCUCGAGGAAGGACAUCACCCACAGAAGAAGCACCGGCUAACUCCGUGCCAGCAGCCGCGGUAAUACGGAGGGUGCGAGCGUUAAUCGGAAUUACUGGGCGUAAAGCGCGCGUAGGCGGUCUGAUAAGCCGGUUGUGAAAGCCCCGGGCUCAACCUGGGAACGGCAUCCGGAACUGUCAGGCUAGAGUGCAGGAGAGGAAGGUAGAAUUCCCGGUGUAGCGGUGAGAUGCGUAGAGAUCGGGAGGAAUACCAGUGGCGAAGGCGGCCUUCUGGACUGACACUGACGCUGAGGUGCGAAAGCGUGGGUAGCAAACAGGAUUAGAUACCCGAGUAGU